GAGAAAGCGUGAAGAGCAGAAACUCACGCUGUUGCCUCACAGUCAAUACUUUUCAGCGGAUUCUUCUUUCCGUAUAAACUGAUAGGAUUGCAAGACAAAAGGGAUUAAGUGCCCCUUGCUCCAACAGCAUCUUAUAACGAAAAA
ensembl:ncRNA F38H4.13 ncRNA